UACGUAGGGUGCAAGCGUUAAUCGGAAUUACUGGGCGUAAAGCGUGCGCAGGCGGUUUUGUAAGUCUGUCGUGAAAUCCCCGGGCUCAACCUGGGAAUUGCGAUGGAGACUGCAAGGCUAGAAUCUGGCAGAGGGGGGGUAGAAUUCCACGUGUAGCAGUGAAAUGCGUAGAGAUGUGGAGGAACACCGAUGGCGAAGGCAGCCCCCCUGGGUCAAGAUUGACGCUCAUGCACGAAAGGCGU
rnacentral:rRNA from 1 species